AACGACGUGAAGGAAAUUGUCCCGC
rnacentral:rasiRNA from 1 species